ACGUAGGGGGCAAGCGUUGCUCGGAAUUACUGGGCGUAAAGGGUGUGUAGGUGGCUGAUUAAGUUAAGGAUGAAAUCCCGAGGCUCAACUUCGGAACUGUCCUUGAUACUGGUCAGCUUGAGGCUAGUAAAGGAGAGCGGAAUUCCCGGUGGAGCGGUGAAAUGCGUAGAUAUCGCGCAGAACACCGAAGGCGAAGGCGGCUCUCAAGGCUAGUCCUGACACUGAGACACGAAAGCUAGGGGAGCAAACAG
rnacentral:rRNA from 1 species